rnacentral:rRNA from 1 species
AAAUUAUCCUCAUAAGUUAGACGAUAAGAGGUACCAAUUAUGAUUUUAAUUAUUAAAUACUUAUUCUCUUCUAUGAAGAUUUAAGGUUAAUAAUAAUUGAUAGAUAGAUGGUGGCACAGAAUCGGAGGCCCCGACUGUUUACUAAAAACACAUCACAGUGCAAUCAUUAAUGUGGUAGUAUACUGUGUGAAAUUUGCCCAAUGCCAUUAAUAUAAAAGCGGUCAUAGGAAACUGUGACUAAUUGAAAAUCUGGUUAAUAGCGGUCUUAACCAUGAGGAUCCUAAGGUAGCAAAAUAAAUUGGCCAUUAAAUGUGGUCCGGUAUCAAUAAUGUAACGAUGGCCUCACUGUCUCUACAACUUGCUCAGUGAAAUUGAAUUACGCGUGCAGAUGCGCGUUACCUCCAGUGGGACGGGAAGACCCUAUGCACUUUCU